rnacentral:rRNA from 1 species
AAUUCGAUUGAGUUUGAUCAUGGCUCAGGACGAACGCUGGCGGCGUGCUUAACACAUGCAAGUCAAGGGGGCCCAGCAAUGGGCAACCGGCGAACGGGUGCGUAACACGUGAGCAACCUACCGAACUGUGGGGGAUAGCCGGCCUAACGGCCGAGUAAUACCGCAUACGCUUUCAGUGAGGCAUUUCAUUGAAAGGAAACCUACGGGACAGAUCGAGGGGCUCGCGGCCUAUCAGCUAGUUGGCGAGGUAACGGCUCACCAAGGCAACGACGGGUAGCUGGUCUGAGAGGAUGGCCAGCCACAUUGGGACUGAGAUACGGCCCAGACUCCUACGGGAGGCAGCAGUGGGGAAUCUUGCGCAAUGGCCUAACGGCUGACGCAGCGACGCCGCGUGUGGGAUGAAGCUCUUCGGAGUGUAAACCACUGUUGCCCGGGACGAACAGCUCGAUUAGUCGAGCCUGACGGUACCGGGUGAGGAAGCACCGGCUAACUCCGUGCCAGCAGCCGCGGUAAUACGGGGGGUGCGAGCGUUGUCCGGAAUCACUGGGCGUAAAGGGCGCGUAGGUGGUUUGAUAAGGGUGUGGUGAAAGUCCGGGGCUCAACCCCGGAUCUGCCGUGCCGACUGUCAAACUCGAGGACUGUAGAGGCAGACGGAAUUCCGGGUGUAGCGGUGGAAUGCGUAGAGAUCCGGAGGAAGANCGGUGGCGAAGGCGGUCUGCUGGGCAGUUUCUGACACUGAGGCGCGACAGCGUGGGGAGCAAACAGGAUUAGAUACCCUGGUAGUCCACGCCGUAAACGA